UGGAGGCCUGAGAAGAUGAGGCAGGUGUGUACCGUGCUGCCUUCCAUCGGUGAGGCCUCCAACAGAGAAGGGCGGCCAGGCAGAGCGCGCUCCUCUGCCGUCCUCAGGGGGGCAGCACUGCACCGGCCCACAGUCC